GACGAACGCUGGCGGCGUGCUUAACACAUGCAAGUCGAACGGAAAGGCCCUGCUUUUGUGGGGUGCUCGAGUGGCGAACGGGUGAGUAACACGUGAGUAACCUGCCCUUGACUUUGGGAUAACUUCAGGAAACUGGGGCUAAUACCGGAUAGGAGCUCCUGCUGCAUGGUGGGGGUUGGAAAGUUUCGGCGGUUGGGGAUGGACUCGCGGCUUAUCAGCUUGUUGGUGGGGUAGUGGCUUACCAAGGCUUUGACGGGUAGCCGGCCUGAGAGGGUGACCGGCCACAUUGGGACUGAGAUGCGGCCCAGACUCCUACGGGAGGCAGCAGUGGGGAAUAUUGCACAAUGGGCGGGAGCCUGAUGCAGCAACGCCGCGUGCGGGAUGACGGCCUUCGGGUUGUAAACCGCUUUCGCCUGUGACGAAGCGUGAGUGACGGUAAUGGGUAAAGAAGCACCGGCUAACUACGUG
rnacentral:rRNA from 1 species